GUUAAUGUAGCUUAAUUUAUAAAGCGAAGCACUGAAAAUGCUUAGAUGAGAACUUAUAAUACUCCAUAAACA
rnacentral:tRNA from 1 species